rnacentral:rRNA from 1 species
UAAAUACUACCCAGUGACCGAUAGCGUAUAGUACUGUGAAGGAAAGGUGAAAAGAACCCCGGGAGGGGAGUGAAAAGAACCUGAAACCUUGUGCUUACAAGCACACAAAGCACGUCAACGUGUGAUGUGGUACCUUUUGUAGAAUGGUCCGGCGAGUGAAUGUAACUGGCGAGGUUAAGUUCUUAAGGAACGGAGCCGAAGCGAAAGCAAGUCUGAAUAGGGCGUCUUAGUCAGUUGUAUUCGACCCGAAACCGGGUGACCUAUCCAUGUCCAGGAUGAAGUUAAGGUAAAACUUGAUGGAGGUCCGAACCCACGGUCGUUGAAAUGCCCGGGGAUGAGAUGUGGAUAGCGGAGAAAUUCCAAUCGAACCCGGAUAUAGCUGGUUCUCUCCGAAAUAGCUUUAGGGCUAGCCUCGACUGAACAUUACCGGAGGUAGAGCACUGAAUGGGCUAGGGGCCGAGAGGUUACUGAACCCUAUCAAACUUCAAAUGCCGGAAAAUGAUAGUCGGGAGUCAGACUGCGUGAGAUAAGUUUCGUAGUCGAAAGGGAAACAGCCCAGACCCACAGCUAAGGUCCCAAAGUACGGUUAAGUGGAAAAGGAUGUGGGGUUGCACAGACAACCAGGAUGUUGGCUUAGAAGCAGCCACUCAUUAAAAGAGUGCGUAAUAGCUCACUGGUCGAGUGACUCUGCGCCGAAAAUUUAACGGGGCUAAAUCGUACACCGAAGCUUGGGAAUAUCAGUUAUUCUUCAUGGACUUGCAAGGAAAGAGACCAUGGCACGAAGUGCCAUCAAAUUGUCCAUAAGGAUAAAGCGAGCUUGUGAAGAAUAACUGAUAUUGGUAGGAGAGCGUUGAAUGCGGGGUGAAGUCAGAGCGAAAGCGCUGGUGGACUGCAUUGAAGUGAGAAUGCCGGAAUGAGUAGCGAGAUUUAUGUGAGAAUCAUAAAGGCCGAAAGACUAAGGUUUCAGAAGGAAGGUUCGUCCGCUUCUGGUUAGCCGGGAGCUAAGGUGAGGCCGAAAGGCGUAGCCGAUGCACAUACGGUGGAGAUUCCGUAGCCGUCGAAAUAUUUAAGCAAAGGGACACUUAUGAAGGACAUGACCCGGGCGAUGGUAGCCCCGGGCGUAAGGGACUGAAAACAAGUAAGGAAGCAUGUUUGGAUUAAGGCGAGAAAAGCUUUGUGUAUAUAUCAGACGUCCGUACCGCAAACCGACACAGGUAGUCAGGAAGAGGAUUCUAAGGCCAACGGGAGAAGGGUAGUUAAGGAACUCGGCAAAUUGACCCCGUAACUUCGGGAUAAGGGGCGGUGCGUAAGCACCCGCAGUGAAUAGGUCCAGGCGACUGUUUAUCAAAAACACAGCUCUCUGCUAAAUCGAAAGAUGACGUAUAGGGGGUGACACCUGCCCGGUGCUGGAAGGUUAAGAGGAGGAGUGCAAGCUCCGAAUUGAAGCCCCAGUAAACGGCGGCCGUAACUAUAACGGUCCUAAGGUAGCGAAAUUCCUUGUCGGGUAAGUUCCGACCCGCACGAAUGGUGUAACGAUCUGG